AAUAAAGAUACAGGAGAAUAAUCUGGAAAUCCCAUUAAAAAGGUUUCUUUUCGUGGCCGCAAUACCCGUUUUGACCACAGGACGGCAAAGUUUUCCGCCUCGUAGCAUUAACACCGAGGUCAUCGUAGGCCUUUUUGAUGGCCUCAACUUCCUUUCGCAGCGGCCUUCCCAGCACGGCCGACUUCCUGUCCGUCGUCCGCGGUCGUCCCCCAAUGCCUUUGAAGAACGACCAUCCCAUCACGGACGACUUCCCCUCCUUUCUUCUUAGUCGUCCCCCCAACUUUCUUUCGCAGCGACCUAUUCGGCACGGUGCACUUCCUGUCCGUUCUACGCGACCGUCCCCCAGUCCCUUUGAAAAAUGAGUAUUCCAUCAUGGCCGACUUCCCGUCCCGCCUUUUAAGUCGUCCCCCCAACUUCCUUUCGCGCGGACAUUUUCGGCACGGAGAACUUCUUGUCCGUUCACCGUGGCUGUUCCCCCCAUGCCUGAGAAGAACGACCUUUCUGUGGCGGCCGACUUCCCGCCCAUUCUUUUUAGUCUUCCCCCUCAGUUCCUCGCGCAGCGACUUUUUCGUCACUCUGGUUUUAAAGUUUAUUAUUCCGAAUAAUUAUUAAUUGAAACGCCUCAUUAUUAACAUUAAUACGGUAUUACGAAAGCUCAAACGCUCUCGUUAAGGGACAGAAAAGCAGGACAACACGAGGCCGAAGGCAUCAAUCGAUGAACAGGAAAAGACAUCGCACUUCAAAAGACCGAACCUGAAAGUGAGGCAUUGGACCGGAUAAAAGGCAUUGGACCGGAGUCUUCCUCAGCAGACCUUACACCCGCCCGCUUCAGAGAUAUUAAGGAAAGAGCCAUCGUAGAUCACUGCAGACGGAAGGAACUUGCUGCUAUUAAGGGACCCUAAGAAUUUGCUUCUUUCUUUCUCAGUGAGAUUUGGGAGGGAGGGUGCUGGCAAAAAAAUCCCCAGGAAACCGACGGAGCUGUGGACAGCAGCAUACCUUUACCAUAAUAAAAUCAUUUUCUCCGUCAGCCCUUCCCUUCCGAAAGCA